rnacentral:rRNA from 1 species
UACGAAGGGGGCUAGCGUUGCUCGGAAUCAUUGGGCGUAAAGAGCGUGUAGGCGGCUCGGUAAGUCCGCUGUGAAAGUCGGGGGCUCAACCCUCGAAUGCCGGUGGAUACUGUCGAGCUAGAGUGCGGAAGAGGCGAGUGGAAUUCCUGGUGUAGCGGUGAAAUGCGCAGAUAUCAGGAGGAACACCGAUUGCGAAGGCAGCUCGCUGGGACGUUACUGACGCUGAGACGCGAAAGCGUGGGGAGCAAACAGG